rnacentral:rRNA from 1 species
UACGGAGGGGGCGAGCGUUAUUCGGAAUUAUUGGGCGUAAAGGGCGCGUAGGCGGCUGUACAAGUCAAAGGUGAAAUCCCUCGGCUCAACUGAGGAACUGCCUUUGAAACUGUACGGCUUGAGGCCGGGAGGGGGUAGCGGAAUUCCCAGUGUAGCGGUGAAAUGCGUAGAUACUGGGAGGAACACCAGUGGCGAAGGCGGCUACCUGGACCGGUUCUGACGCUCAUGCACGAAAGCGUGGGGAGCAAACAGG